rnacentral:rRNA from 1 species
CGCAUCUGUGCAUGCAGCAUAUCAAUAAGCGGAGGAAAAGAAACUAACAAGGAUUCCCCUAGUAACGGCGAGUGAAGCGGGAAGAGCUCAAAUUUGAAAUCUUAAAGGGUUUCCCUUUACGAAUUGUAGUUUAAAGAAGUGUUUUCUGUUGAGGUUUUGGUAAAAGUUCUUUGGAAUAGGACAUCAUAGAGGGUGAGAAUCCCGUAUUUGACCUUUACUUUCAACUUUGUGAUACACCUUCAAAGAGUCGGAUUGUUUGGGAAUGCAGUCCAAAAUGGAUGGUAAAUUUCAUCUAAAGCUAAAUAUUGGCGAGAGACCGAUAGCGAACAAGUACCGUGAGGGAAAGAUGAAAGAACUUUGAAAAGAGAGUUAAACAGUACGUGAAAUUGUCAAAAGGGAAGCGUUUGACACCAGUGUUGUUUUUCUGAAAAUCAAUUAAAGAACUGUUUAUGCUAAGUUGUUUAGACUUUAUCAGCUAACUGUUUAGUUUUGAGCUUUUCUUUAAUGCACUUUUCAGUUAACAAGUCAACAUCAAUUUCUUUUGCUGUAAAAAAGCUUGAGGAAGGUGGCUUGAGAUUCGUCUUAAGUGUUUAUAGCCUCUUGCCUAUGCAGUCGGAGAGAUUGAGGUCUGCAGCGUAGAUCCUUCGGGGCUAAAUGCAUUUGUGCUAAGUUAUAGCAUUUUAUAGACAACUUGUUGACUAUGAUUUGUCAUUGUAGCUUACUCGCUCUCGCUAUUUUACCUACGCUUAGGAUGUUGAACGCGCACAGAGUCUC